AUUGUUGCAAUUUGAGUGGGCAAGCCAAAAUAUUGGCUAUUAAUGCCUAUUAUUUUUGUAAAAGAAGUGAAAUGUCGAGUUGAACUUCACAUAUUAGCACCAUUGACAAUUAUUCUAUUGAUACUGCGUGUGAAAUUGAAUAUAAGCGCGUUUUAAUAAAUCGAAUUGGGCCCAGCCAAUGCAUCGAAUUGUGUAUGAGUAUGAAAACACAGACGAAGAGGCUUUAUUAAUAAAUACUUCGAUGAAGCGAUUGCCGACGAAGGUUGGCAAUCAAGAAUAUCAUCGAAAGCGAGAGGAGGGUGACGAAAAGGUGAGAAUUUUGAAGCAGCGUUUUGAAGGGAAUGAAUCGUUGACUUCGAUCGUGGUAUUACAUUCUAGCAUUUCAAUUUGAUCAUGCAUUAACUCUUUGUGAUUUUGUUUAUAUAUAUCAUGUUGACAUGUUUAAUUUUCUAAUUUAAUGUACAUGUGUUGAAACUGCGACACUGAGAUGCUUCAAAAUCCUAAAGAAUGCUAUUGUUGCAUGCAGUGUUCCUGAACAGAUGAUGGUCAUUGGAGCUUGCAGCAGACAUAUUUAAUACUUGUGGUGGCCAUUGACUCAUCGUUAUCAUCAACUCGGUACAAAGCUGAGGUACAAAUGUUAAAAACAAACAAACAUGGAACAACUGGUUUGCAAGGAUUUUUGCAUAAACUGCACUUCAGUGGAUUGUAACAGCAGGAACCGAAAUUAUUAAUUAUUGUCAAUAUUACCUCUCAUUGAUUGAAUCAUAAAAUUAACUGAUUAGUUUUAUUGUAUAUUCCCUGUGAGUUACCUGGGUUUGUUGGUGAAACAUUGAACUAAACAAGUUUUUCAUGGUAGUUUCUAGUACUGUACCAGUAACAUAUAAAACUGAAAAUAGAUUAUAAUGUUGUAGAUUGACAAGAUGCAUUUUAUGUACCUGCAAAGCAUUCCUUUGUAACUAAUUAUCUUGGGGGAGAAUUGGUUUAAGACAGGAUUAAAGCCCUCCAAGCAACUUGUUUGCUCAUUUAGAGAUGCCUUCAUUAUUCCUUUCUUCAACCUUUUAUUUUCAAGUGAAGAGCACAUUUGCACAUUUUUUUCUUUGCAAUGCAAUCUGCAAAUGUUUAAAACUGCAAUGGGCACAAUUGCACACUAUUUUUUACUUGUUUAAUGCCAGACUUGAGUUCCACCAACAGCCAUACCAUUUCUUCUUGUUCUGUAGAUAUGCUAUGCAGUUUCAACAUCUGCAUGGCUGACCAGCAGUUUAUAUUGUCCCUGAUUCUUGAGGAUUUUCGAUUUCCUGUUGUAGUCUUCAGCUAAUUAAAAACAAGAUUAACCUGAUAAGAGAGAUUUUGUUGGCUCAUAUGCAAUCACAGGUGUGAUACUGAUGAUACUAUCACACGAGAUGCGCCAUCCACCGGUUUGAACUGCAUACAUACACGUCAAAUAAAUUUUAUACAUCAAUAUUAAUAUAUAAAAGUUCACAACAGUAUAAAGUUUGACCCAAAAAUUAUUUAUUCGAAUGUGUUUCAUACGCGCUGAUGAUGCAUAUGGUGAAAUUAACAUAAGGGUUCACAUCAUUUUAUGACUGUUACCUAUUGUGAUAUUUAUUGAUUAAUGAAAUAAAUAUAUACAUGCAUUGACUGAGCAGUGUGUCUUCAAUCUGCGGCAACUUUUAUAAUUUUCUGUUUAUGGUAUCAACCUCCAAGAGGGCUAUAUUCAUUAGGCUAAUCAGUGGAGCCUAUCGAGGGAUAAAUGUUAUUAUUUACUAUGACCAGGCCGAGGGGUCCAGGGAUGCAAUUAGAAAAUACU